rnacentral:rRNA from 1 species
ACGUAGGGGGCUAGCGUUAUCCGGAUUUACUGGGCGUAAAGGGUGCGUAGGUGGUUUCUUAAGUCAGGAGUGAAAGGCUACGGCUUAACCGUAGUAAGCUCUUGAAACUGGGAAACUUGAGUGCAGGAGAGGAAAGUGGAAUUCCUAGUGUAGCGGUGAAAUGCGUAGAUAUUAGGAGGAACACCAGUAGCGAAGGCGGCUUUCUGGACUGUAACUGACACUGAGGCACGAAAGCGUGGGGAGCAAACAG